rnacentral:lncRNA from 1 species
CCCAGACCCGCCUGGUCCCGGGCAGGCUCCAGGGAGAAGAGAGCCGAGCAGGCCACGCAGACGCACAGACCCCUCCUUCCACCCGGGAUGUUUGUCUCUGUUUCCACAGGUGUCUUCCAGGAGACAGACUAAAGCGACAUUCAAUCAAACUCAAGUUCGGUGGAGCGCCUCCUCUUUAUGGAAGCCCGAUCUACAGGCUGAGAGAGACGGAAGAGGAGAAAAAAGCAUGGUCUUGUCUUCACUGCAGAAAACACUCUAGAAUGUUAAACACGAGGGGGACAAAGCUCUCCCUUCCCC